CUUAAAGGAAAAGUGCCACCUUCUUGAAAUAUGAAGAUAUCGUUGGUUUUUAUUUUGACAUUAUUAUUUUCCAUUUUCUUUUCAAAACCGGUGCCAGAAGUGCAUAAUUCGCUAAAAAGUAUUUCAAACUAUUUAACAUAUUGGUACUAUGUUUAUACUCUCUACCGCAGCUACUGUAUGAUGUCAUAGCAAUGACGUCACACUCAAGCCAAUCAGCCUUGAGGAGGAUAGACUCGUCGGACUGUAGCGGUUGUAAACAACUUGUCGCCCCGUGUGUCUGCCCGUGGCGCUAGUUAUCUGUCGAAGUUACCACUGACAAUGCCCAAAACAAGAACAACAAAGGCCCAAAGGUGGCUGUUUGGUAGUGCGCAAAGCUGCUGGUGGUGGUGGACGUCUCUGCCCUGACGCGCGGCGUGCGUCUGCUCAGUGUGGAGGUGCCGCUGACAGCGGUGCCGGCCGGACCGGCUGCCUCUCCGGCGGCCGACAUUGAGCGCGGCACGUGUCCGCCGCCGUUCGGGCCGCUGCAGCUGCUGCAGUCGGCGGCGCAGCUGUCCGUCUCCGUGUCGCUGGCCGUGCCGCUGGACCUGCUGCCGCGGCCGGCGCCGGCGCGCUGCGCCUACGGCCGCCUGCUGGCCGUCGUCUCGCAGCGCGGCCUGCAGCGCAGCGGCGUGCUGCAGCUCAUCCAGCAGCUCAACGAGCCGCCCAGCCCGGCGGCGGCCGAGGGCGCCGCGCCGCGCCGGCCCGGCGACGUCAGCACACCUGGCAUCAGCGGCUUCUGCCUGGUCGACCGUCAGCUGCACCUGCUGUUCGCCGAGGGGCGCGCCGACGCCGAGCUGGAACAGACGGCGGCCGCGCCGCGCGCUCUGCCGCGCCGCGACGCUCGACUCUGCCACCACUCGGGCUUCUGUUUAGGGAGCGCCUGUACCCGCGCCAGCCGGCCGCGUUCCGCGUGCUCGAGGACCGCCCGCUACGCGCCCAGCUGCUCGACACCCGCCUCUACACGUUACAGAAACAGGAGCCGGCGCGCGCCGUCCGCGCCAUCAGAGAGUGCUUCCGCACGCAGUGGCUGUCGGAAAAUGAACCUGCUUCCCAACGAGGCCGGCCUGCAACAACUGCUGGCCGGCUGUUGGCCGAAAAAAAAAACGCCUUCAACCGGAUGUCAGUUGUCAAAUCAACGCGUAUUAAUGCAUUCACUAGGAUGGGCUUACGUAAAGCUGUAGAAUUGCAAAUAUAUAAUGGCACUGUUUUUGA
rnacentral:lncRNA from 1 species